rnacentral:piRNA from 1 species
UAGAGAGGCUUUGUGUCAGGUGCAGA